ensembl:lncRNA
CCAUCCAUCACCAGUUAAUAUUUACUAAUUGCCUAUAUGUGCCAGCCACCAGAUGAGGCACAGGUGUCAUGAUGCUAGCGUUCUACAUCCUUUUUCUAGGCAGUUUAUGGCCCAGUGAGUAGCUGACGUGAUGGUAUGUGAUAAGCACUGUAAUGAUGGGGUUAUAAAAUAUCAAGGAGCAUAAAGAAGAAAAGGGGACCCUCCUUUUCUUGUGAGGUCAGCAAAGCCUUCCUAAAAGGAUAGGAUCUGGAAUGAUGGAGACCAAGAGUUUCCUGGAAGAGAGCUUGGAGGAGUGAUAUUCCAGGGUGAGGGGAAGGUAAUGUGAAGACAUGGAGGUGGGAAACCUCCAGGAGGUUUUUAAGAUCUGCAAGUGGUUACUCUGAUGUGAGGGGAGUUGGGGGAGGAGAGGUUCUUUGGAUGUGAUGGUGGGAAGAGAGGUGGUGUGAGAUGGAGUCAGAGAGGUAAAUGUGGGAGAUUCGGAGAUAGGCCACCCAGGCUGCUUUUUAAAGAAGGACUUCAGCUGCGGGAAUGCAGUUUGCAGCCAGCCUCCAACUGUCAGCACUUAAGUGUCAGCCUCAGCUGCAGAGAGUGGUUUUGUCUGAGGUUUUAUUUCCAAGGCAGCCUGCAGGGUUUAAGGGCCCAGUCAGUUUGGCCCUGACACACUGAUAGGCAGCACUCCUCCAGACCCGCUGGUAAGCAGGCUGGCUGAACGUCUGUCGAGGAGGGUAUUGCAACUUCACCUAUUUUGCUAAAUACUUCCGCCUGCCUCUUUUUUCACUGGCAUUGCUCUCCAGUAAAUAUACAUGCUUGUGACCCCAUGGACUGUAGCCCGCCAGACUCCUCUGUCUUUGGGAUUUCCCAGGCAGGAACAUCGGAGUGGGUUGCCAUUUCCUCCUCCAGGAGAUCUUCCCAACCAACCCAGUAAAUAUCUUGAGCCCCCAAUUCCAUCUCAAGCCUGCUUCAUGGAGAAUCCAGUCUUAGAGAUCAGCUUGGAUUGAACCACAGGAGGCUUUGUAUAUGAAGCUAAGGUUGGUCCUGUGCUUAGGAAUUUCAAAAGCGGAACCAAUGCAGGAACUGUCCUCUGAUAAACUCUCAUAUCUCUCAAGUCUGAAACAAACAUCGGAGGAAAACAAAAUAGAGAAAACAAGCAGCUCUAUGGUGUUCAUUCAAUGGGCAUUUACUGAAUGCCUACUCUGUCACAUACGAUCUGAGGCACUGGAGACACAAAGAAGAAAACAUGACCCAGGGCCCACCUGGAAGGCUCCUUGGAGACAGCCUCUGAGAAGGCCCAGGUGGCUUACAAGGGACACAUGAGCCAAACAAGGAAAGUGAACGUGAAGAUCCAAAACUCAGGAUUAUAGAGUGGGCUUUGUUGGUUUCCUAGGGCUGCCAUAACAAAAUACCAGACACUGAGUGGCUUUCAACAACAGAAAGCUACUCUAACAAUUCUGGAGGCUAGAAGUCUAAAACCAAAGUGUCAACUGGGCCUGCUCCCUCUGAAGGCUCUAGGAAAACAUCAGUCCUUGUUCUCUCCAAGCUUCUGGUGUUAUUGGCUCUGCCUUAUCAUCACAUGGUGUUCUCUCUGUGUAUCCAUCUGUGUUUCUGUUCUCUUUUCUUUUGAGGUUACCAGUCAUACUGAGAAUAUGACCUCAUCUUAACAUGCUUACAUCUGCAAAGACCCUAUUUCCAAAUAAGAUCAUAUUCUGAGGUUCUGAGGGUUAGACUUCAACAUUUCUUUUUGGUGGACACAAUUUAACUCAUAAUAGGCUUCAUCAAGAAUGUCACUGGCCUGCUGCUGCUGCUGCUGCUGCUAAGUUGCUUCAGUCGUGUCCGACUCUGUGCGACCCCAGAGACGGCAGCCCACCAGGCUCCCCCGUCCCUGGGGUUCUCCAGGCAUACUACCCGCUUGUUGUUAUACACGGUCAUCUGACUUUCUCUGGCUAAUUCAAGCAGAAAUGGCACGCGUCUGCAUGAGCUGUAGUACUGAAGAGUUAGCACUCCAUUCUCCUGGCUCUCUCCCCUGUCAUGGCUGGCCUUAAAGAUUUCGGUUGAGGUGACAGCAUCAUCUUCCAUCAGCUUGGCUUCCUGAAUGACAGCAAUCAGCAAACAUUCCUAUUUAUCUGCAUUAAAACUGUAGUGUAAGCAAGAAAAAACUCUUUGUUCCUUCAAGACAUUGAGAUUUUGGUGUUCUUCGCUCCUACAUAUAACCUUCCCUAUAUUGACAGAUACAUAGUAUUGACCUAAGAGACUGUUGGGAGGUUUAAAUGAGAAGAAGCACAUAAAGCAUUCACCCUGGUGCCUGACACAUGGGAAGCCUCAAAAACAAUGUACUGUUUUUAUUCUGUCUAAAGGAGAAGAUAUAUCGUAGCAUUUACACAACAAAAAUUUUAUGAGAUUCAUUCUCAUUCUAUUGUACUGAAAAUAAAAUAAACUCUUGUAUUUAACAGUUGAUGUAGUUCAUCCACAUUGGUAACAUUUAUUUGAUGCUUACUAUGUGGAGAAGGCAAUGGCACCCCACUCCAGUACUCUUGCC